CUGCUUGCUUCGGCAGCACAUAUACUAAUAUUGGAACGAUACAGAGAAGAUUAGCACGGCCCCUGCGCAAGGAUGACACACAAAUUUUGUGAAGUGUCCCAUAAUAAA
rnacentral:snRNA from 1 species